AAGUCGUAACAAGGUUUCCGUAGGUGAACCUGCGGAAGGAUCAUUAUCGAGUUUUGAAGUGGGUCUUUGAGCUGGCUUUCAUCGGCAUCGUGCUCGGGCCCCGCUCCAAUCCACUCAACCCCUGUGCACUCUCGGAGUGGCGGGUACUGUGAAGUGCCGGUCGCUUCGUCUCUUAUCACAAACUUAUUAUAAUUAUGUCUUGUCGAACGUGGAUGCCUGUAAAAGGGCGGAAACUCAAUACAACUUUCAACAACGGAUCUCUUGGCUCUC
rnacentral:misc_RNA from 1 species